rnacentral:lncRNA from 1 species
GCCUGAAUGUUUGGAGAUAGACUUCAAGUCCCGGACCUUAUCCGUGCGCCGCUUCGGUUUGCAGGAGGGCGAUAGCACCGGCCUUACUGCGACGAUGACAAAGUACAACACACCGUCUGGCGCGAAGGAGAUGCUCGAGAACCCUUUGCUGUUGUUAUUUUUCGCGUGUCCUCCGAAACCAAGGGAAAUGCGGCUCUGUGGGUUCUGUUAACGUCAGCAUUUAAUAAGUGAACUCUAAAUGCAUUGCCCCUUAUGGUGGCCGCUGGCCUCCUGAGUUGACUCAGCUCUUGCAACGUAGCUAGUUGAUAACCCUCGAAAUAUAGCGAAUUGAGAUGUGCUAUAUUGUAAAAUACGGGACUUAGUACGAAAAAACUGAUGUAAAAAUUAUCUCAAUACUUUUUAAUACUGAUUACAUGUUGGAAUAUAAUGUUUUGCAUAUAUUGGGUCAAAUAAAAAUGUUAUUAAUUUCACCUGUGUUUUUACUUUUUAAAUGCAGCUUCUAAAAACAUUUAAAUUGCAUGUGCAGUUUACAUUAUAUUUCUGUUGAGCAGCCUUGGGUUAGAGUGUUGGAGUGAGGCUACCUUGGUGGAAUCCCCUUUGACGAUACCCAGCUCAGAGUUGUUAGGAGGAUUAAAUAAAUUAAGCCGUUGGAGAGAAAGGGCUUUUAAGAAGUUUGCUCUUGUUUUUAUUAGGUAAACUGCUUGCUAUCUCUGAGCUACUGUUUUCUUAUCAGUAAAAUGUGGAUG